rnacentral:rRNA from 1 species
AUGGAUCAGGAGCUGAUCGAGCACCUUGAGGCGAAAGUGAGUGCUGACAGCGCGAGAUCUCACCCUCUCAUCGAUUUGUUCAUACCAACCAUUGACAGCGAGCACGGCAUAUGCUACACCCAUCCUGAGAAAUUUCCAGGUAUCACACUGAGUGGCCUUAGCAAGCAUUUCUUCCAGCAUAAUUCCAGGGCGUUCAAAAGGGGCACGUGGACGCGUCACAAGAUACAGUCGGAGUGCGGCAUGCACGCGAUGUGGCACAACACCGGCAAUACCUUGCCGGUGAUGGUCAACGGCCGGCAGACGGGAAGCAAAAAGGUUCUGGUGCUGCACACCAGCAAGAACUUCGACUAG